UGUGAUUUUCUUUUGUCAUGCCAAGAAAGAAUUUGUGUACUAAAUAUCUUCACACUGCGACGCAAGUGAUAAUACUAGCAAAUAUAAAAAUUAAGUUGAUUCUCAUUCACAUGCAGAUAUAAUUUCAAAGAGAUGUACCUAAGUGUUAAUUGUUUUAUUAAUGUACCUUUGAAAUGCAAUUUUAAGAGCCUUUGGAUAGAGUUCCCCCUUGCACAUUAAGAGCCAUUUGUUUCAGCAUAUUAUUUUGGGGGAUUCUCAGCAGUAGGCAAGGCAAACCCCUAUAACACAGGCAGUUGAAGUCCGCUGCGACAAAUGCAAAUCCAACUAUAAACCAGCUAUCCUUCCAAUCUUCCACAACUGAGAUUCACGGGCACUUAGCUUUCUCCAAUAAUUCUUGCAAUUCUCCACUCUUAUAUGCAUCAACAGUGAUAUCACAGCCACCGAAAAACUCUCCAUCUAUAUAAAGUUGAGGAAA
rnacentral:misc_RNA from 1 species